UGGUCACAUUGAAACACUUGUUCCCAUAUGAUCACCAAAAUUAAGCAAUGUUGAUUGUGGUCAGUAUCUAGAUGGGUAACUACGUGGGAAUACCAGGUGGUGUAAG